UGAAAUCAAUGAUGGUUUUCUUCCAUAAUUGUUGAUUGAACGUUAUUAAUACAAAAAUAUCACCAUCUUUCGGCUGAGAUUGCA
rfam:Capsicum annuum cultivar Zunla-1 unplaced genomic scaffold scaffold11294, whole genome shotgun sequence